AUUGAACGCUGGCGGCAUGCUUUACACAUGCAAGUCGAACGGUAACGCGGGGGCAACCCUGGCGACGAGUGGCGAACGGGUGAGUAAUACAUCGGAACAUGUCCUGGAGUGGGGGAUAGCUCGGCGAAAGCCGGAUUAAUACCGCAUACGCUCUGAGGAGGAAAGCGGGGGACCCGCAAGGGCCUCGCGCUGCAGGAGUGGCCGAUGUCGGAUUAGCUAGUUGGUGAGGAAAGGCUCACCAAGGCGACGAUCCGUAGCUGGUCUGAGAGGAUGAUCAGCCACACUGGGACUGAGACACGGCCCAGACUCCUACGGGAGGCAGCAGUGGGGAAUUUUGGACAAUGGGGCAACCCUGAUCCAGCCAUUCCGCGUGAGUGAAGAAGGCCUGGU
rnacentral:rRNA from 1 species